UGCACACGGCGGUUCGCGAAUCGCGCUUCCUCUUCCCGCUGCAGCUGUGUGCGUGUGGGUGUACUCGUAUUGGCUGCGUGUAUGUGUGUGCGUAACUACACUGCAAAUUGUGACGGAUUCAUGUGGCCUUAAGGGGGAAAUAACUUGCAUUUGACAGGUGCGAUCAAGUGUGCCGUCUCAAAAAAAUAAAAAAGACGCGAAUAACCUAGGAUGUCUGGUUGCAUUCUCUUUUUGCGCCACUGAUUAUCCGAAACUUAUGUGACAACAAUCAGCAAAUAGUCAUAAACAUAAAUGGCAUUCGUGGUGGCAAUAACGAAUAAAUUAAAUUAUUUUUUGCUUUUCUCUAUUUUCUCUUUUCAAAUUCAAUUCAAUAUAUCAAAUUCAAUUUUAUUCAACUAUCUAGACAAUUUAAGCAUUGACUUUGUUGUGGAAAAAAUCAAAGAUUUAAGUUCAAGUUGACUCAGAGGAUUCCAAUUUCACAACUUCACCUAUGGAUGAAAGGGGUUGCUUCCUGAUUCUUCGGGACGAAUUGAAUUUCACGACCUCCCGAAUUUCUUAUAACAUGAAAUGGUGCAUACUUACAUAUGGACCAUUAACAGAAACCCGUAAAUCCGAACUUGUGCUGUUUUAUAUCUGUUACAAGACCGGCAUUAUGGGAGUCUGUCAAUGCAAACAACUGGUUUUUGGCAACAAAAUCAAUGACAAAUCUAAAAUACGAAUAAUGGCGGAGUAAGGAUAAAAGUUCAACUUAAAAAAGGAUUACGAGGAAAUACAUAACUUGUAAAGCUAAAGUUGACUAAGUGGACGAUCCAUUUAAGGCCAAACGAAUUAUAAAAAUAAUAAGUAAUAGUCCAACAAUCAAUAAUUAAUCCUAAAACUAAAUUAAAACAACCCGUUUAACAAGAUAAUCAUAUACAAAUAAUAAUAAU